CCUACGUGAGGCAGCAGUGGGGAAUAUUGGAUAAUGGGGGAAACCCUGAUCCAGCGACGCCGCGUGAGUGAAGAAGUAUUUCGGUACGUAAAGCUCUAUCAGCAGGAAAGAAAAUGACGGUACCUGACUACGCAGCCCCGGCUAACUACGUGCCAGCAGCCGCGGUCAUACGUAGGGGGCAAGCGUUAUCCGGAUUUACUGGGUGUAACGGGAGCGUAGACGGCAGCGCAAGUCUGGAGUGAAAUGCCGGGGCCCAACCCCGGAACUGCUCUGGAAACUGUGAAGCUGGAGUGCAGGAGAGGUAAGCGGAAUUCCUGGUGUAGCGGUGAAAUGCGUAGAUAUCAGGAGGAACACCGGCGGCGAAGGCGGCUUACUGGACUGUAACGGACGUUGAGGCUCGAAGGCGUGGGGAGCAAACAGGAUUAGAUACCCGAGUAGUC
rnacentral:rRNA from 1 species